UUAGCUGGUGGCUGGUGGCUUUAUGCUACGGGGUCAGAUCAAAGGAUAGUGGGCCGUACGCAGCAUUUCACCCAAAGGAUCCAAUGUGACCGAGGCGCUGAAUAUCUACCUAUCUAUAUUGACAGUGUCAUGGAAAAAUGGAUUAUGCACCCACAAAUGCAACACGAAACAACGUCCCUGCAAAGGUGACUUGGAUAUUCAUUGCAGCCUUGACAUAUUUAUGGUGCUCCAAAGCCAGGGUCAAGGGAAGAAACUAUGACACAUGUACAACCACAAAAAUAUAUUGAGUGUUGUUUUACUAUUUUAAAACACUACAUAAUAUAUGUGCAAACAAGAAAAGAAUGCUUGGCUACUGAUUUUAUGCUGCCGGCAAAAAAUACCUGCUGUAUCUUUCAUUAAUAGAUUUCCAAUAAAAUAAAUUAACUUUUAACCCAAUCAUUGUUUCAUUCAUUUAUUUAUGGUGGUUACCACCUUAACCUUUGGUAUGCUUAGGAGCAGAUCUGCUCCCAUGUACUUACCUAUAUUCAACUUUAAAAAAUGCAUUAAUUUUGACGACCGGUCUGACCUAGUGGGUAGUGACCCUGCCUGCUAAGCCGAUGGUCCUAGGUUCGAAUCCCAGUAAGGGCAUUUAUUUGUGUGGUGAACACUAAUAUUUGUUCCUGAGUCAUGGGUGUUUUCUAUGUAUAUAAGUAUGUAUUUAUCUAUAUAAGUAUGUGUCGUUGCCUAGCACCCAUAGUACAAGCUUUGCUUAGUUUGGGGCUAGGUUGAUCUGUGUAAGAU